GUGACCUCAGAUCAGGCAAGACCACCCGCUGAGUUUAAGCAUAUCACUAAGCGGAGGAAAAGAAACUAACAAGGAUUUCCCUAGUAACGGCGAGCGAAC
rnacentral:rRNA from 1 species